rnacentral:lncRNA from 1 species
GAGUGGGGUUUAAUCUGGACUGAAUUGGAGGAAAGGAACUGGCACCAGAGUGGAGGCUGGAAGGAUGGUGGAACUGACACUGGGACAGAACACAGAAAACAGAAUCUAAUGCUAGAGGAGGUCUGAUGGCCGGGAGGACAGGAAGAAGGAACCCACAAUGAAGCAAAAGUUGCGUUUAACUCUGUCCUCACCAUUCCUCUCCUGGACCUGUCCUAAACUGGAAGCUGGGGGAGGAUGGAGUGCUGGAAUGCUGCAGAAGUCUCAUGGGAGGGCGCCUGGUGUUCACCACAUGUGUACACUGUUGCACGACCAGAUGGAAAUUUGAAUGCUGGGGCUCAGUGGAACACCUGAAGGAAGCUGGUGAGGCAGAUGUCCCGCUAUGCCUUCCAAGUGUCAUGCAACCAGUUCAUGCCUGUCAGCAUCUCUGCCGGUGGACUCUGUGAGUCAGCAAAUCUACAGAGCAGAGAGCCACAAGUGGGGACAGAUGUGGUCAAAUGCCAUUUAAAUCAGUGAUUCUCAACCCAGGAGUUGUCAUGGCACUGGCCUUGAGUGAGCUGGACCAAGGGAAGUGGUAGAAUUCCCCAUGAAGGACCAAGUGAGCAGAUAGAAGUUUCUCCAUUUUAACUUUUUCUGAGUCAAUUUAAAAAACACCUAGUGCCUUUUUCUGU